ensembl:antisense 9430041J12Rik RIKEN cDNA 9430041J12 gene
ACCACCAGCCUCACCCUCCUGGGACCCAGGCCUGUUGUCUUCCUUAGCCUGGAACCUAACCACAUUUCUAUCCCAACCCUCUCUGGCACCCUAACAACCCCUUCCCUCCUGGGACAGGCUGAAGGCACCUUGAAUCCUCAUCUUACCUCAGCUGGUUUCCCCAGUCCUGAUCUCUGUUCCCUAUUUGAGGAUAUCAAUCCUUCCCAGACCUCGGCUGCCUCCCCUGCCUUCCCUCUCUCAGUCCUUUCUCUACCCCCACCCCCCCGCCAAAAAAAAAUUUUUUUUUAAUUUAAUCUGGGACAUAUUUACUAGUCGGGAUUCUGUGGGGGCGGGGUCCUUCUCGCCUGGGACCUCAAGAGCGGACCUUUCCUUAGAUGACCCUAAAGACUGGCUUUCCAGGCAGGUCUCAGAAACCCAAAUGCUGGGCCCCCAUCUCCUCCCAUUCAGGAUUCUUGGAAGUCUAGGAUCCCAGCUCUCCUUAUCUGGGAAGAGAGGGGUCUGCACCCCCAGCGCACGUCCUAGGGGAACCUCAAGGAGAUGACUGGAGAAAAGUGAGGUCACAAAGGUGGGCUCUAACACGACUGGAGUCCUUGUCAAAAGAGAUUAAGGACCAGAGAGAUGGCUCAUCAAGGAAAGGGGAGCAUGAAUACAGUUCCUCACUACCACCAAAUAUGCAGUUGAGUUUCCUGAAUUUGGGGAAACUGUAGGGGUCAGAAUAUCAAGAUGUUCUGGAUGUGAUGGAUAAGCCUCACCCGGGGAAAACGACCUUUGUGAUUAUGGUGUCUCUUCUUCUAGGCUCAUUGAAGAAUGCAAUGAAAUCAUUUUUAAAGAAGUGUGCUAGGCCUGAUGACACAUGCCUUUAAUCUCAGUCCUUGGGAGGCAGAGGCAAAUGGAUGUCUAACCUGUUGACUGGCUGAAUGGGCUUGGUCAGCCAUAAACAGGACAUCUCUAUCACACUCAUUCUCCAAGGCCAAAGGGAUCAUCAUCAUGCAGAAGGAGAGAGGCUGAUUCUGAGAGCCAGAGGCCAGGAUUGGGCUGUGCCCCACCUGUAGCUUUAACUACAAAUGAUUCUACAUUGCCUGUUCCAGGAAUGGAAAUCAUGUCUGUUUCACAAAGUUGUUUAAAACCGUCUUGCAAGCCUACCUCUGUUUCAAUAAGGUUCAAGGCCUAGUGAAGUGAAGCCAGAGGAGACCUGGUUACCUCAGUUAUCCCAGGAAGAACUCCACAUGCCAGCCUGGAUCUUCCACAUGGUAGUCUCACCAUGGC